UAUAAUGACUCUCGGCAACGGAUAUCUCGGCUCUUGCAUCGAUGAAGAACGUAGCGAAAUGCGAUACUUGGUGUGAAUUGCAGAAUCCCGUGAACCAUCGAGUCUUUGAACGCAAGUUGCGCCCGAAGCCAUUAGGUAGAGGGCACGUCUGCCUGGGUGUCACA
rnacentral:rRNA from 1 species